rnacentral:rRNA from 1 species
ACAGGUGGUGCAUGGUUGUCGUCAGCUCGUGUCGUGAGAUGUUGGGUUAAGUCCCGCAACGAGCGCAACCCUCGACCUUAGUUGCCAGCAUUCAGUUGGGCACUCUAAGGUGACUGCCGGCUAAAAGUCGGAGGAAGGUGGGGAUGACGUCAAAUCAUCAUGCCCCUUAUGACCUGGGCUACACACGUGCUACAAUGGGCGGUACAAAGGGUCGCGAACCCGCGAGGGGGAGCCAAUCCCAAAAAGCCGCUCUCAGUUCGGAUUGCAGGCUGCAACUCGCCUGCAUGAAGCCGGAACCGCUAGUAAUCGCGGAUCAGCAUGCCGCGGUGAAUACGUUCCCGGGCCUU